CGCAGGCGCGGUUUAGGGAAACAGGAUGCGAGUCAGCAGCCAGCCCUUCCCCUAAGCAGCGUUYGCAAACCUGGACACCAGGACAGCAGUCCCAGGCCCCAGGGCCGUGGGGUUUGCAUGUCAGAGGAUGCUGCAACAUGUUCCCUCCGUUCGACAGAUCGAGGCAGAGCAGGAAGAUUUUGCCGGCAUCAUUUCCCCUCUCCCCUCAGCCACUACACACCUCCAUGGAGUUGCAGGUCCAGGUCUGGAGAAAUCCUAGCAGGUGCAAUUUGCACACACCAGGGCGUUCACGCCAAUGCAAAAGGAGAGGCCAGAAACGCAGUUUGGACCCAGACUCAGCCCCCCGCRAGCCAAGCCGGGGCGAAGGCAGCUCCCUCGCUCCCACGGGGCGCCACAGGACCCUCGCCGGGUCGCCGUUCCCAAAGGGCAAUGCCUGCAGUUUGCUCCUGCUGCUUCCCAAGAGCGUGGCUGCUACUGCGCUCCCGAGAUAAAGAGGUGCCAGCAGGCCGCUGUUUGCUAACGCUUGGCCGCAGAGAGGCCGGGGAAGGGAUCUGCACGAAACAGAGCGCUGGUGCCCAUGCAGCGCGGAGAUAGCAGCAGCGUCACGGCCCCGGGGCAGCUGCAGCCCUGCGCGGCGGCAUUGCCCGGGCCACGGGCCCAAAGCAGAUUUCGGCCCCUGGAAACCGGAGGGAAUGGGCAAGGGGCACAGGAAAGCAUCGCCAGCCCUGUUUGGCAGGAGGGGAGCCAAUGCCGGGAGACCGAGCAAUUGCUGGCGAGCCUGGGGCCAAGCAGGGCGCAAAUGAAGCAUCUUACAUAAUUCUGAGAAUUUUGUGUGUUUAAAUCUUUCUAUUUUCAUGCAAGAUUUCUUUUGUUUAAGAUGAGCUGGAAACUGUCGUGAGUUUGCCACCAGGACGCGAGUCCCCCUCAGAUAUAUUUACACGUUCAGGAAGACAAACUGCGAGAUCUAAUCUCACGAGGGCUCCUGCACGCGUUUGACUUGAGACACCUGCACCGUUCCUUUAAGUCAAGUGAAACAACUGCAAGCUGAGAGUUAACCUCCACCUAACGAUUGUUUCUGCAAYGUGCAUUUUUCCCUUGUAAACAAAGAACCAAGCACACUUUUACUACCUAAUGACAAAACCUUCAGUGCAGA
rnacentral:lncRNA from 1 species